AGUUUGAGAAGAAAUUAAUGUAUUGAGAAACACAAAAUUUUCUUGAACGGAUUGAAAGGUCCUUGAAAUCCAUUAAGAUCUCAAGGAUUUAUUUGGAACCCACAAAUGCAACGAAGAGAAAAUUCAUCAACCGUCAAUCAAAAUUCAACCAGUAGGCGUAAGCUUGACAAAAAUGUCUGACCCACAUAUCAACAGGUGAGAUACUGCCCUGAAUUGCUCUCUUUUUCAUUUGAUUCAUGGUGGCAAUCCCAAGAGGAGAGUUUGGGCUGCAGCAUGUGUCCAGCUAGCUGUUUUACCAAUGUUCUCUGGAUUUUUGAGCAUUACAUUUGUUAUCAGCAUAGGCACUCUGGUGGUGUGUAUAUGAUUCAUAAAUAGCUAGAAAGGUUUGAGAGGUUAGAGGAUUUGAUUAGAUGAUCUGAGGUUAGAUAUUUUUAUUGGAGAGGUUAGAUGAUCUGCUGAAAGCAUUCAGAUCUUUGGAGACUGAGACACAGAUUAUCAGCACAGAUUUUACAGCAGGUACACACAGGUUGUCAAGUUUGACAGUUCCAGUGCUUGCAAACAGGUGGAAUAUUUCCUACCCAAAAUCAGUGAAAAAACACUGCACUGGAACACUUAAUGUUGGAGGGGUGGUGGUGGUGGUGGUGAUAGUUUUGAUGAAAUAUUGAGACUUCUUCUAACAGUCUUGUUAAACAAGUUAUCUGUGCUGAUACUCUAUUUGUGUCCCUGAUAAAGAUUCCUCUACCUUUCUUUAAUAUGCAUUUAGAGUCUAGCAAAGCAAAAUAUUUUCAGGUAAAACCAGAUAUUCGCAGUGAGAGAUCACAGUUCAUUGCCUGCAUGAAUUGGUAACAGCUGAGGGUCAAGGUAGAAGCAUGGGGAAAAUGCAAAACUUCCCCAGAAAGAAACCAACCACUAUGGUUGGCAACUUGGGGAUGUUAAAAGAAUGUGGGAAUAUUGCAACCCCUUUUCCAAUACAAUAAUAAAAAGCAAAUUAAAAUCUUUCUUCUGCCUUAGGACUUUUGGUGACCUGAGAGCAGAAAUCAGGAGGAGUUCAGCUGAAGCACUGACAGCAUCUCUGAGCUGGAAUAAUAUGCAUUGUGGUGGGGCCCCGACCUCUGCUUGGACUUCCAGGAGUUGAACUAAUGCAAAGCCUGAAUGAGGCCAAAAGUCAGUCCUGUCCAUCAGAGAGCUUCCAGAAGAGACAUGACCACUUUGAUCCUUAAAAAAAGCCUGUGACAGACAGACUCAUGGUUGGUAGUCAUUCUUCAGCACAAAGUAGCUUAACCUUUCUAUAGAAGUUCAUUAUAUCAAGCAAACAAACAAACAAAAAUACACCAAAGUGUACACAUGAUCUCUAUUCCUCAGUUUCGAUAUCCUUGGAUAUGUUGGCCUCUGAGCACCUUGAAAAGGAAGAAACUUUGGACCUGAUUUACUAUUAUAUUCCAAUCCCAUAUAGAGCAUGGAAGAACGAACAUAUCUUUGGUUGAAGAGUUGCUGUGGUAUUGACAGUGACUGGAGGAUUUGCAAAGGUAAAUGGUGUGGAGCACAGGUAUGGCAUGUGCUGAAAUUGUCCCAGGAAAUGAUGAAAGCAACUGAAGCCAAGUAAUUGUUCACGCACAUGACAUAGGAUUUCCUCCUCUUCUGAAAGCAGUGGAAAAUAGUGAAUGAUAGACCCUGUCAACAAAAACCGUAGAACUGGGGAAGAACCCAGCUGUGUUCCUAACCUUCACAUUGAACUAGAAAGUUGAGGAUGUCUGUUCUUAGCUGAAGGAAACUGCAUCAUGGCAAAAUACUUGAUUCACUUAACCUCUGUCCUGUUCUGUCCAGAUGAGACUAACUUCUGUUGCCUGUGGUCAUACUAAAGAGAAGGUCACCUGUUCUGGCUGAGAGCAGAAACUAAACAGUCCUAAGCCAUGUGUUUUGUUAUUUGAUGACUCAGGCACUAAAUGGUGAAUAACAGGAGCUGAAUGUGAUUCAACCCAAACAAAAGUUGAACUCUUUCCCAAUGCUGCAUUAUUGUCAGACAUUCCUGAAUAAGUGGUACAACCUUAUGCAAAAUCCAAACAAACCUAGCAUGUGAAAAUGGCAUUUAAGCCUGAAUAAAGUGUUAAAAUAAACAUAUUAGGCA
rnacentral:lncRNA from 1 species